rnacentral:tRNA from 1 species
GGAGGGGUCGCAUAGAGGCCUAGUGCGGCGGGUUGCUAANNCGAGGGUUCGAAUCCCUCCCCCUCCGCCA